UGUAAGCGUAUACCAAAGUUGUUGCAGUUAAAACGCUCGUAGUCGGAAUUUGGCAGUUCCGGAUGUGUGCACGUCGUGUGCGCACUUCGCGGGGAUUGCUUUUGUGGUCUUGCGUAGGAUGAGGCACUUUUAUUAGUGAACGUCCUCACGCAACCACUUUUUACUGUGAGAAAAUCAGAGUGCUCAAAGCAGGCAUUUGCCGUGAAUGUAUUAGCAUGGAAUAAUAGAAUAGGACUCGGUUCUAUUUUGUUGGUUUGUUGGGGCUGAGUAAUGAUUAAGAGGGACAGUUGGGGGCAUUUGUAUUUCGGCGCUAGAGGUGAAAUUCUUAGAUUGCCGAAAGACAAACUGCUGCGAAAGCGUCUGCCAAGGAUGUUUUCAUUGA
rnacentral:rRNA from 1 species